ensembl:lncRNA
GCAGGAUGUGCAGUAGGAGGUGGUAGCCACCUGGCUCUGCAGUAGGAGAUGGUAGCCAGCUGGAUGUGCAGUAUGAGGUGGUAGCCAGCUGGAUGUGCAGUAGGAGAUGGUAGCCAGAUGGAUGUGCAGUAGGAGUUGGUAGCCAGAUGGGUGUGCAGUAGGAGAUGGUAGCCAGAUGGAUGUGCAGUAAGUGGUAGCCAGAUGGGUGUGCAGUAGGAGACGGUAGCCAGAUGGAUGUGCAGUAGGAGAGCUGGUGGGUUGGUGGAUGAAGACAAGGCAGUGCUGCUGCACUGUGGGGCCGCCUGGCCUUCAUGCAUUAUGUAGGACCCUGUCACCAUCUCACCACCUCUCCCUCUGUCUCUGCAGUAAAUAUAGAUCAGCGACUGUCUUUUUCUC